UAGUUAAUACGUGCGAAAAUUGUUACCAUUUUCGGCUCAAAAAUGGUAACAAUUUUCGCACAUAUUGAAUA